UUUUCUCCCAACUCUUCUUCCUUGAGUUUGUGUUGAACAACAAUGGAUAGGAUCCAACACAAGUAUGUUGAUGCAAGAGGUCUUAAGCAUCACAUAGCUGAAAUUGGAACAGGUGAUAAUGUGGUGGUUUUCUUGCAUGGAUUUCCUGAGAUUUGGUAUUCAUGGAGAUACCAAAUGAUUGCAGUAGCAAAUGCAGGAUAUCGAGCAAUUGCACCAGAUGUUCGAGGCUACGGAUUGUCAGAAAUUCCACAAGAACCUGAAAAGUCUACUUUCAUUGACCUUGUCCAUGACCUGGCCGCCAUCUUCGUUCCUUAGCCAUCUCAAAGGCUUUUGUGAUUGGAAAAGAUUUUGGAGCUCUGACAGCUUACCAGUUUGCAAUUCUGUACCCAGAGAAAGUGAAAGGAGUUGUUACAUGUGGGGUUCCUUAUUGUCCUCCUGGUGGUUUUGAACAAUUACUCAGCAUCCUUCCUGAAGGUUUCUACAUUUCAAGGUGGAAGGAACCUGUAGGAAGAGCUGAAGCGGAUUUUGGACGUCUUGAAGUCAAGAAUGUAGUACGGAACAUUUACGUGCUCUUCUCGAAGAGUGAAUUACCUAUAGCAGAGGAAGAUAAGGAGGUCAUGGACAUAGUAGAUGAGUCUCAUCCUCUUCCAUCCUGGUUCACCGAAGAAGAUCUCUCAGCCUAUGCUGCUCUAUACGAGAAAUCCGGUUUUCGUUCUGCACUGCAAGUUCCAUACAGGUCAAUCUCAGAAGGAUUCCCAAUAACGGAUCCAAUCAUAAAAACUCCAGCACUAUUGAUCAUGGGUGGGAAAGACUACUUUCUGCAACUUCCAUGAAUGGAAGGGUACAUAACAAGCGGAGCAGUGAAAGAACAUGUGCCUGACCUGGAUAUCAAGUUUUUACCAGAAGGAAGUCAUUUCGUUCAGGAGCAAAAUCCAGACGAGGUGAACGAGCUCGUCACUGCCUUCCUCGAUAAACACAUGUGAGCUGAGUUCCUCAUAGAGGUGAAUUCUCAACAUUCAAGAGCCUAUGUUUAUAGGCAGCAACCUAGUUGUACUAUUACUUUCAUGUGAGUGGUUUCUUGUUGUUUGUUAGUGGAGUCGUGGUGUUAGUU